rnacentral:rRNA from 1 species
CACGUAGGGGACGAGCGUUGUCCGGAAUCAUUGGGCGUAAAGCGCGCGUAGGCGGCCCGGAAAGUCGGAUGUGGAAAUCCCGGGGCUCAACCCCGGGCCUGCAUCCGAUACUCCCGGGCUGGAGGCAGGUAGGGGAGGAUCGGAAUUCCAGGUGGUAGCGGUGAAAUGCGUAGAUAUCUGGAGGAAUACCGGUGGCGAAGGCGGCAUCCUGGACCGAGAUUGACGCUGAAGCGCGAAAGCUAGGGGAGCAAACGGG